rnacentral:rRNA from 1 species
UACAGAGGUGGCAAGCGUUGUUCGGAAUUACUGGGCGUAAAGGGCGCGUAGGCGGUCCCGUAAGUUCCGCGUGAAAUCCCCCGGCUCAACCGGGGAAUGGCGCGGAAAACUGCGGGGCUUGAGUUCGGGAGAGGGAAGCGGAAUUCCGGGUGUAGCGGUGAAAUGCGUAGAUAUCCGGAGGAACACCGGUGGCGAAGGCGGCUUCCUGGACCGACACUGACGCUGAGGCGCGAAAGCUAGGGGAGCAAACGG